AAAUGGAUUAAAAGCAGAAAUGUUAUACUCGGUUCACAAGAAAAGAAUGUGUGCAACGUUUUCAUGCAUUUAUUUUCAAAUUUUAACCCUUUUAAAUUGGACUAAACCACAUGGAAACAAAAACGUUGCGUCAUGUCAUUGACCCCUUUAUGUACAGCACAUAGUACACGUGGCCCUCACUCUUUCUGAGGGUGCACUGACAAUAGUUUUACAUAACACAAAACAACCUCAUUCAGAUGCCACUUUAACUUUUAAUAGACUUUGGGAUCCUCAAGCCACAUUGAAGUUUCAUUUAGCAGUAAAUGUUUUGGGAUAUUCAUGGUGAAAUGAGUCACUUGAGGGAAUGCAGGUCGGUUGUUGUGAAUGUAAAUUGGAGCCAAUCAAUGAAAGUGAAGUAGAAGAAGCAUGAAGGAAACAAUCAGCCAGUCCCCAGCCUUACUCACAGUACUCCCAUCUUUGACUCUAUUAACACACAAAAGCAGUUGCUUUGAACCAUAAAAACUUUUAAAACUUUGUUGCAGCUUUCAUUGGCCAGUGUUUUGCAGAAAUCACUAAAUGCUCUCUGGAAGUUACUUCUGUGGUGUCAACUAGAGAAAAAUAUGAAUGCCCAAAAGACAGUGAGUGCAAACAGAUUACAUUUAUGCAAAAUACAAGCAUGCAAACAACAAUCCUAAACGUUACAUGCAUAAAAGACAGGUGGUAUCCUUUGAGAUUUAUGAAUCUGAUAUUAAAUGUGAAAUCUAUUCACUUCUCUUUAACGCAACAAAAAAGGAGCUGCUGUAAAUAACAAGUCUACUAUGAUAAAUGACUUUAACAGGCUGAGUAGUUAUUUGUUUUUAUGAAAUAGUG